CUGAAGGACUCGGGACAGAGGAUGCUCUCCCCCUCCAGAAAGGGAAUGCAGACGAGGCAGACGUUUGACGAGAUUCCUCAUUUACAGAAGUGAACAAUCUGGGAAUAUACCCAGCUCCAAGGGCCUGCCAGCCCGCGGAGGGGGAUGGGAAGGAAAGGGAGAUAAGGGCCAUCAGAGAACUUCGGAGAACUGGUGGCGAAACUUGGCAUUUCAUUAAAAAAGAUCCUCUUUCAAGUAACCAGUCACAAGGCUAUCGGGAGCCCUUCCAGAACUAUGUCCAAGAUCCCGUGGGUCGAGAUUGCAGCCAACAGACCUCACAGCCAUCCAAAGGAAGCCAUGUAGGCAGCGAGAAUGAGGGCGGUCGGCCAUGCCAGGCAAGGAGAGACUCCCCGGCUGGCUCUCCCCGAGGGGAGCCUGGAAGAGCUGGGCAGCUUUGUGAGACUUUGGCAAAGAUCUCUGGGAGAAAGGG